rnacentral:tRNA from 1 species
GCUCAGUUGAUUAAGUGUCUGACUCUUGAUUUCAGCUCAGGUUACAAUCCCAGGGUCGUGGGAUCAAGUCCCACAUUGGGCU